CCCCACAGUUACUAUUAUGAGGGAUACAGCAUUGAUUUCACUCUACACGUGUCAUGUAACUGAAUGUAUCACCUUCUUGGGGAAUUAAAGCUCUCGUGUUGAAACAUGGAGACAGGUCUUUAAAUCAAAAGAGUUUUUAUUUCAUUGGAUGAGAGCAGUAAAUCUGGCCAUUGCUUAUGUAUUCAGUUCAAAUUUUAUAUUCUAAAUUAGUAAAACUACUUUUAGAUAAUCACUUAUUUAAGCUAUUAAAAUACCAGGAGAAAAAUAGAACUUAUUUGGGAUGUCUCAUAAGGUUUCUCACAUUUAGGAAGAUGAUCCAGAUGUUUUGAACUUGCAUAACAGUUGUCGCUCGUGUUCUCUCCUCAGUUUCAGCAUUUCCAUCAGACGCUGAUCCAAAGAAGGAUGGAAACGUCACGUUAGAGUGCUCUCUGUUUAGAUACUAUACUACCUCUCCUUGUAACAGUAUGCGUUGGGUGGAUGAGACAGGAAGUGUGCUUUUGGACAGAGGUGUCAAGAACACUGGACGCACGUGUGUUUCUCUUCUGACUGUGAAGCUUCAGAGUGGCAACAAGAAAAGAUACACCUGCCAGUUUGAAGAUAACAAUACUGUGAAGAUAGAAGCUCACUACACACCUGUCCUCAUAGAUCGGUCUUUUCUGAACUGCAUCAUGUGGGCUCUUCGCUUUGCAGGACUCACAAUAAUGAUUGUAAUCAUGGUUCUUGUGAUCAGACACAAAGGAAGGAAAAAGCCACCUGAAGACAUCAACGUACAUUAUGUGGGUGACCGUGAUGAGGACACAGUGAACUAUGAAAAUGUGAGAAACAGGACAGCUGAUCCUGAACUGGACUGAACGUCAGAGCACCACCCUCUGUUAACCAGAACAAAAAUGAAUCUUUGUUUGUAAUUACAUUUUUCUAUUGCAAAAAAUAAUAUCUUACACUUUCCCUGUAAGUUUCUUUUUUUAAUACUUCAUAAUCUCAUGACCUCCUUUUGAAUGAUGACCAAACUACAUAUAAAAACAUUGCUUGCAUAACAAAAUGUUGCUUAUGUCAUGGUCCUGGGUCAGUGACCCAGCGUUUUGUGUUUCAUUUUGGUGUCAUCCUGUGUUUUGUGUUGAUUCUUAUUUUGUAUUGUUUUAGUGUUCUCCCUCCUGUGCUUGGUUUGUGUUUGUAUACAGUCCUCUAUGUACUAUUAAAAGGAAGAUCAAAUUUUAAAAUCUGUGUCUAGACUAAUAUUAAAAACACAUUUUAAUAUGCAAUCACCUUUUCACAGUAAUUUUUUUGUGUUGGUUUUGUACAGUAACUAUUUAAUUUCGUGAAAUGUCUUUAAAUCUUUCAAAUAUUGACAAAACUAUAAAGACUUGUAUUGCAAAAAUGGAACUUCUGGAAUCCUGUUUAGUUGUUUUCAAAGCUACCUGCCUCAUUCUGUGAGUUCUGAAGUUUAAAUGUUUUUUGAAUUAAGAAAGUUAUUCAUGUCAGUUAUCACGAUGCUGCUUCUUGGUCAGAACGUUUGACUCCUGAAGAUAAGUGAAGCUGAAAGCCAAAGUUCCUGUCUCAUUCUGUGAAUCUAAACUGUCCCUCUCAGAAGGUGUCAAGGUAACAGUUAUUUAAGCCUCAUUUUAAAUUGAUGUGAUAAAAAUAUGACUUUUGACACAACUGCAUCACAAACUGUUUUGUUUUAGCCAAACCAUCGCUGUAUCUGUGAUCUUGGACAUAGCAGUACUCAUUAUGUUUUUAUAAUAUUUAAGACUAAUGUUAAAUACUUUGAACUUUACUUUUGAGACACACACACAUUCCCAUAUUGAUAUCUUAGUGAGGAUAUCUAAUUGACAUAAUGCUUUCCCUAGCCGCUUACCCUAACGCUAACCAUCAAAAAUGAAUGCCUAACUCUAGCCCUUAGCUUAAACCUAACCAUUACCUAAUUGUAACCCUGACACUAAAACCACAUUUGAAGUCUCAAAAACGCCUUCACACUCAUGAGGACGGGCACUCUUGUCCUCACAAGUCACUGUUGGUCCCCACAAGGAUACUAAGAUUCCAAAUUUUUUUGGUCCCCAUAAAGAUGUCUAAACAGGUACACACACACACACACACACACACACACACACACACACAGUGUCAGACAGCUUAAUCACAGAGUUGAUCAUCUGAAAUCUCCUCCAUAUAAUCCUGUUUGCCACAUGUUUUAUGUGACAGGUUGAUUUAAAACAGCCACAGUUUUAAACUGGGACCCCCCCCCCCCCCCCCCCCCCCAAAGCAGCUGUUUGUUGCUACCAGCAGCUGAAUCAUGUCAUUUCUGUCUUCUGCUAAAUCGGCAUUUUAGUUCCAAAUCAUCACACUUCCUCUUUUUGACAUUACUAAAUGGAAAUUGCAACACUUUUUGUUUCAACAUUAUCCCACUCUAAGGCCAAACCAGUUUUCAUCCAUCUAAUUAAGGUGAAUUUUUUUUUUUAGCUGUGUUUGCAUGCACGGAUGUGACAUAAUCCAAGUUCUUUUAAAAUAAUGUUGGUGGUUUGUGAUGAUGUCAAAGAGGAAACAGAAGCAUCAGACAGACCAGCAGCAGAGAAAAACCUCAUAACGUUCGCCCGCUGACAGAACGGCACAGAAUGGUCCUGCUUACAUUUCUUCUAAUUCUUGUGCUUCAGUGUGAAGGUAAAGCCUCCUUUAUUUUUAUUGCUUACUUUGAUAACCACUUUGAUAGCUUCACACAAGGUUUUUGUUACUUGUUAAAAUUAGUCAAAAUUUGUUAAGACAGAAUUGUGGCAUGAGCGUGAGUUCAGUUUGGAAACAAGUUUAAACUU
ensembl:lncRNA